GCUUGUGAUUCUUCUCUCCCAUCUUACCAGCAGACGGAGUUCUUGACAUAGGUCUCCUUCUUGGUUCGGGUUGAGGGGGAGUCAACGUUUCUAUGGUCUCCUGAGGAAAAGGGCUGAGACUUCGUCCUGCCGUUACAGAACUGAAAUCACUCAGGGGCCUUUGGGGCUGCAAUAAAGUAAGGAAAAUAAGAGUAGGCACUUAUGUUCAGAUGUUUCAGAACGGGCACAACCUCACCUUAUAGAUAGAGAUGGUCGAUCUGUAGGAUUGCUCCAUUCCCUCCAAGUUUUCGACGGGGUCCUGGCAGUACUUUCACACAACGAAUGGAAACGUCGAGAAGAUAAAAAGUCCUGAGACACCCAGGAAUCCACUUCUGUGACCUAGGCUGGAAAAGGAGGAGUGUCCUUUCUAGAAUGGCAGGAUACAGGAAAGAAGUGUGCGCUCAAUUUGAAAGGAAGAAAAUGCUAUUCGGAGAGUUUAAUAAUUCACCAUUCAGGAUGUAAGAACUUGAGCCUUAAGUGUCACCAGAUACCAGGUAGGGAGGAAUCCUGUGAUAGUCGCAAAGGUCAUGUGACUUUCACCUUGAAUUAUUUAUUGCUAGUCUUGCUAUAUACCUCUUCCUGCAGCUCUGCAAAGUCGUCAAGCUGGUUAUCCUCUUGUAUGGGAUAAUUAUGUUAGGACGGAGUGUCAUGGGCAAACUCUGAAGUGGGCGAAGUGUAUUCUGUGGGUCACAGGUGGUUCCUUGUGGUCCAAGAAUGAUAGAUUUCUGCCACAAAAAGGUCUCCCUCUCACCCAACUGCCACUGCUCUGUCUGCAGAGGGAGAGAAGAGGCAGCAUUUGCUGGGAGUAAUCCUUUCUCACACUGCCAUCCCCUUUCUUUUUGUGUCAUCCCUUAAUUGAAUUGUGAGCUUGAAAGCAAGGAACUUUCCCUUGCAAAGUGCCAGGUGCAGUAAAACAGUGCUACAUUAAGACGCAGAGAAAGAAGAGGAAGAAGAGGAAGGACAAGGAGAAGAUGAUGCAGCAGCAGUAUAACAACAAACAAAAAGAAGUCAUUCCCAAAUGAUCUCUGACAUGCAUGGAGGCACUUUUGCCACAUUUUUUGGUUCCUUGAGCUAUUUUAGGAUAUAGAAUCACCCGAGACCAACUACUGGUUUCCCCAGUCAGAUUUACCUAUAAAUUUUAAAAUCACC